GGCUGGGUACAUCUCGUAAUGUCUGGCUCUUUCUUUUUAUAAAUUGUGUACACAAGGGAUUUAAAAUCCCUCGCCUUUCGAGGCGUGCCAGUUCAAGUCUGGCCUCGGGCACCA
rnacentral:tRNA from 1 species